rnacentral:rRNA from 1 species
UACGUAGGGGGCAAGCGUUGUUCGGAAUUACUGGGCGUAAAGGGCUCGUAGGCGGCCAACUAAGUCAGACGUGAAAUCCCUCGGCUUAACCGGGGAACUGCGUCUGAUACUGGAUGGCUUGAGUUUGGGAGAGGGAUGCGGAAUUCCAGGUGUAGCGGUGAAAUGCGUAGAUAUCUGGAGGAACACCGGUGGCGAAGGCGGCAUCCUGGACCAACACUGACGCUGAGGAGCGAAAGCCAGGGGAGCAAAGCGGG